ACACGUUUAAAGAAAGCUCUGUCGGGAAGCAUAGGGAGGUGUGGCACUUUUUCCUCCUCCUGCCAUGGAGUUAAAAGGCAGUAAUGACAGUUUACAGGAGCCUUUGUGUGCUGCCUCAGUGCCACGUGGGUGAUAAAGGGGUGCAGGGCAGGAGGCGAUGAUUGCCGUGCACACCUUCUGGGUGUGUUGUGCUGCUCAUGUUUGAAACAUGCAGUUCUCUCACCACACCUUAAAGAUCUGGUUUUAAUGGCUCUUAGGAAAUGCUGCUGCUUGAGUAGGGCAUGCAGCCUAAGCCAGAGGAGUGCUGGUGGUUUCUGUGAGCAAGGCAGGAGAGCACACAAGAUAAAAAUCAUCUCUAUGUGCUUAGAACCCUUCAGUGCUCUGUAUGGUCCAUGCUCAAUCACCAUUCCACAUAAUUAAUUGGUCACAACAGAUAAGCAAAACAGUUGUGACUAAAGUAUUUUCAUUUGUUAUUCUUUUAUCUUUCAAACCGCCAUGUUAUAAAUGUUCCUGUAAUGCUUGUUUUAUUUCUUAAAAUAAUAUUUUUAUUAUAUGUUUUGAUCUCAGAAAAGCAAGCAGGGACUGUUUAAUUUCUGGAUUUAAUUUUAGUAAUUUAACUUCAAAUAAGGAUAAAUCAUACAGAAUUCCCUGAGAGCACUCAGAGGUAUCUUUAAAAUUGUUCUUUUAAAUCUUCUCUUUGGAAUUGUCCUUUCUUUGGAGGUGGCAGUCAGCAUGGAUAGUGCUGUGAGAAAACUGAACCACGCUCAAAACGUCAAGAAAAGAGAAACAGCUGAGAUUCUAGAAGAUAUCUGAAAGACAUGGGAGCUGCUAAAAAUAAUUAUUUCACUGCAAGCUCUGUGAGGCAGCAUAGCUGAAUUCAGCACUCAAUAGGAACAGAAUCCUUCUGCUUUGCUUCGCUGUAGGACUACAGGAUCUUGAAGCUGAGUCUGUUCAGUAGGAAAUGACUGGAAAAAACAGUGGCACAUUGCCUUGAUCUGUGUGACAUUCUCAAUUCUUGCCUUCGUCCAGGACAUUUUUACCAUAGCCUUGCAAGGGAGUGAAGCAUACUAUUUACAGAUUUAAACAUAUUUUAUCCAUUAUUUCCCCACUGUUACUGCUCCCACAUGAUGACAAGUUCUACAAUAACAGCACAACGUUGCAACUUUUAGUUUUCAUCUUUAA